ensembl:lncRNA
UUGGUCUGUUGCUAUUCUUUUUGUUAUUGUGAUUUUUAGCCGAUGUUAACUUUGUGUAUUGUGGGUUAAGCUGAUGUUUUUUUAUAUCUGCAUAUGCCUGGUGCAUUACCAAAAAGCUCAGUUUGACCUCCAUUCAUUUAAACAUCUUUUGGUUGGACAUUUGUAUGUAUACAAAGGGGAGGGAAGGAGAGGAAAGGUAAGAAUAUCACGUGAUAUACAUUUUUACAUCCUGCAGUGAAGUUUUGUUAUAUACACUAAGUAAGGGGCAUGCGUAAUCUGCGGUACUUUUUGUUUGAGCUAGUGAGUGUAGCUUAUCUUAGGUUAUCUUCGGAUACUGAAGAUUUUCUUUUCUUUUCUUUUUCUUUAGUUAGUGUAGAAUUGAUAGCUGAGUUAGAGGGUUAUGUUUUGAUUAUUUCUUUUGUUUGAUUGCCACCCAAUUCCCUCCCUCUUUUUCCCUAGUUGCCUGGGGUUUUCUUUUUUUUUGUUUUGUUUUCUUUCUUCCUGUUUUUUUGUAUAUAAGCUUUUCUACAAUUACAUUGUAAAUGAACACUUGUUUGCCUUUAGCGUUUUGGUUUCACUGCUUGCACUGUUAUUGGACCGUAGUCAAAACCCGACAGUUAAAUGUUAUUCCCCAUACCCCUUAUUAACCACAGGGGAUGUAACAUUAAAUGGGGGCUCGUCCGGGAUCUUUAUAACUUUCCCGAGAUGUUGAGGUUUGGUUUCGUGUUGAUGCCUGAUAUGAAAUACAUCUCACUUAAAUGGCAAGGCAUACGCAGCAGCAGGUCAGGCUGUGGCUUUAUUACACACGAUGGUGGUGCUUCAAGACGGGCACAGAAGGCUAGUGUCGUGACUCGCGCUCCUCCCCCACCUGCGGGCAGGGGUAAGAGGAAUUGUGGGUCACAAGGAGGUAAGCAGAACCUAAGGGAUAUGAUCCAGACGAGGCAGCGUUCUCGUCUGAGUCAGAGUGAUACUGAGGUAUCUACUCGUUCCCUUUAAGGAUUUUUAACUUCUGCUUUUAUCCUCCCCUUCCUAAUUCCCCUGUAACCACCAGCUCUCCACCUGAUCGAGGUUAGGUGGAAACCUCUAACGCAUAACAGUCUUCUAUGCUGGACCUAUAAUGUUUUUGGCUGGUUCUAUGUUCAUAGCAACCACCUUACUGAUGGUCCGGACUAAAAGGAGGCGUCCCUUGAGCGGGGCUCCAGCGCAGGAGGGUGGGAGUAUAUACUUAUGUGUAAAUUGCUGGUGGUUAUGUGUCUACUAAUAAACUCUGUGAGUUUCCUUUGCA